rnacentral:rRNA from 1 species
GAUGAACGCUGGCGGCGUGCCUAAUACAUGCAAGUCGAGCGAACAGACGAGGAGCUUGCUCCUCUGACGUUAGCGGCGGACGGGUGAGUAACACGUGGAUAACCUACCUAUAAGACUGGGAUAACUUUGGGAAACCGGAGCUAAUACCGGAUAAUAUAUUGAACCGCAUGGUUCAAUAGUGAAAGACGGUUUUGCUGUCACUUAUAGAUGGAUCCGCGCCGCAUUAGCUAGUUGGUAAGGUAACGGCUUACCAAGGCGACGAUGCGUAGCCGACCUGAGAGGGUGAUCGGCCACACUGGAACUGAGACACGGUCCAGACUCCUACGGGAGGCAGCAGUAGGGAAUCUUCCGCAAUGGGCGAAAGCCUGACGGAGCAACGCCGCGUGAGUGAUGAAGGUCUUCGGAUCGUAAAACUCUGUUAUUAGGGAAGAACAAAUGUGUAAGUAACUAUGCACGUCGUGACGGUACCUAAUCAGAAAGCCACGGCUAACUACGUG